AGAGAGACAACUGGGUCAAAUGGUGGUUCCAUUCCCAAUUUUCCAAGAAAUGUCCAUACUGCUUUCCAUAUUGGCUGCAUCAAUUUGCAUUCCCACCAGCAGU
rnacentral:pre_miRNA from 1 species